ACGAACGCUGGCGGCGUGCUUAACACAUGCAAGUCGAACGGAAAGGCCCCUUUGGGGGUACUCGAGUGGCGAACGGGUGAGUAACACGUGAGUAACCUGCCCUUGACUUCGGGAUAACUUCAGGAAACUGGGGCUAAUACCGGAUAGGAAUCCUUGCUGCAUGGUGGGGGUUGGAAAGCUUCGGCGGUUUUGGAUGGACUCGCGGCUUAUCAGCUUGUUGGUGGGGUAGUGGCUUACCAAGGCUUUGACGGGUAGCCGGCCUGAGAGGGCGACCGGCCACAAUGGGACUGAGAUACGGCCCAGACUCCUACGGGAGGCAGCAGUGGGGAAUAUUGCACAAUGGGCGGAAGCCUGAUGCAGCAACGCCGCGUGCGGGAUGACGGCCUUCGGGUUGUAAACCGCUUUCAGCAGGGGCGAAGCUUGUGGUGACGGUACCUGCAGAAGAAGCACCGGCUAACUACGUG
rnacentral:rRNA from 1 species